rnacentral:rRNA from 2 species
UCUAAAGUCUAAAACGACUCUCGGCAACGGAUAUCUCGGCUCUCGCAUCGAUGAAGAACGUAGCGAAAUGCGAUACUUGGUGUGAAUUGCAGAAUCCCGUGAACCAUCGAGUCUUUGAACGCAAGUUGCGCCCCACGCCUUCUGGCCGAGGGCACGUCUGCCUGGG